GCUCCCAUGGUCACUGCGCUCGCCUUGCAAGCGGGAGACCCGGGUUAGAUUCCCGGCGGGGUCA
rnacentral:tRNA from 1 species